rnacentral:rRNA from 1 species
GUGGGGGAUAUUGCACAAUGGGGGAAACCCUGAUGCAGCGACGCCGCGUGAAGGAAGACGUACUUCGGUAUGUAAACUUCUAUCAGCAGGGAAGAAGAUGACGGUACCUGACUAAGAAGCCCCGGCUAACUACGUGCCAGCAGCCGCGGUAAUACGUAGGGGGCAAGCGUUAUCCGGAUUUACUGGGUGUAAAGGGAGCGUAGACGGUGAAGCAAGUCUGAUGUGAAAACCCGGGGCUCAACUCCGGGAUUGCAUUGGAAACUGUUUUACUGGAGUGCUGGAGGGGCAAGCGGAAUUCCUGGUGUAGCGGUGAAAUGCGUAGAUAUCAGGAAGAACACCGGUGGCGAAGGCGGCUUGCUGGACAGUAACUGACGUUGAGGCUCGAAAGCGUGGGGAGCAAACAGGAUUAGAUACCCGGGUAGUCC